CAAGGAGUAGUUUAAAUCUUGAGAAUUC
rnacentral:tRNA from 1 species